GCCUUGACCUCUGACCUCCGCCCUGACCUCUGACCUCCGCCCACACACACGCCAUGGCGGCCCCUCCCCCGGUGUGGGGGGUUAUGGGGGAUCUAUGGGGCGGCUAUGGGGCGGUUAUGGGGGAUCUAUGGGGCGGCUAUGGGGCAGCUAUGGGGCAGUUAUGGGGCUGUUAUAGGGCAGCUAUGGGGCAGUUAUGGGGCUGUUAUAGGGCAGCUAUGGGGUGGUUAUGGGGCAGCUAUAGGGCAGCUAUGGGGCUGUUAUAGGGCAGCUAUAGGGCAGCUAUGGGGUGGUUAUGGGGUAAUUAUGGGGUGGUUAUGAGGCAGUUAUGGGGCAGCUGUGGGGCGGUUAUGGGGUGGUUAUAGGGCAGCUAUGGAGCAGCUAUGGGGUGGUUAUAGGGCAGCUAUGGGGCAGUUAUGGGGCGGUUAUGCAGCAGCUAUGGGGCAGUUAUGGGGCAGCUAUAAGGCAGUUAUAGGGUGGUUAUGGGGCAGCUAUAGGGCAGCUGUGGGGCGGUUAUGGGGGAUGAAUUUGUGGGGCCGUCCCCAUAUCCCCACAUCCCCAUCACGUCCCCACAGUGCCCCAUAGCCGCCCCAUAACGGCCCCAUAGCAGCCCUACAGUGUGUCCCCAUGUCAUCCCUUUGUCCCUUUGUCCCUAUGACGUCCCCAUGGUGUCCCCACAACAUCUCCACAACGUCCCCAUGUCCCCAUGAUGUCCCGAUGUCCCUGUGACCCCAUAUCUCCACGAUGUCCCCAUGUCCCUGUGUCCCCACGACGUCCCCAUGUCCCUGUGUCCCUUGUACCCAUGAUGUCCCCACAUCCCUGUGUCCCCACAUCCCCACGAUGUCCCCAUGUCCUCCCCAUGUCCCCAUGGUGUCCCCGUGUCCCCACAUCUCCACGAUGUCCCUAUGAUGUCCCCAUAUCCUUGUGUCCCCAUGUCCCUAUGGUGUCCCCACAACGUCCCCAUGUCCCUGUGUCCCUUGUCCCCAUCAUGUCCCCACGUCCCUGUGAUACCCCCUUAUCCCCAUGUCCCCACGAUGUCCCCAUGAUGUCCCCAUGUCCUUGUGUCCCCACGUCCCUAUGGUGUCCCCAUGGUGUCCCCAUGUCCCUAUAGUAUCCCCUUACCCUCAUGUCCCCACGAUGUCCCCACAUCCCUGUGUCCCCACGUCCCCACGAUGUC
rnacentral:lncRNA from 1 species